rnacentral:misc_RNA from 1 species
GAUGAAGAACGCAGCGAAAUGCGAUACUUGGUGUGAAUUGCAGAAUCCCGUGAACCAUCGAGUCUUUGAACGCAAGUUGCGCCCGAAGCCAUCUGGUUGAGGGCACGUCUGCCUGGGCGUCACAUAUCGUUGCCCAAUGCCUAUUGCAGUGCAAUAGGAAUUUCUAGGGCGAAUGAUGGCUUCCCGUGAGCGUUGUUGCCUCGCGGUUGGUUGAAAAUCGAGUCCUUGGUAGGGUGUGCCAUGGUAGAUGGUGGUCGAGUUAGAACGAUACCGAUCAUGUGCAUGCUCCCCAAAAUAUGGCCUCUAUGACCCACACGCGUCUUUUGACGCUCAUGACGAGACCUCAGGUCAGGCGGGGCUACCCGCUGAAUUUAAGCAUAUCAAUAAGCGGAGGA